GCAGGCCUAACACUUGCAAGUCGAACGGCAGCACAGAAGAGCUUGCUCUUUGGGUGGCGAGUGGCGGACGGGUGAGUAACACGUAGGAAUCUACCCAGUAGUGGGGGAUAACCUGGGGAAACCCAGGUUAAUACCGCAUACGCCCUGAGGGGGAAAGCGGGGGAUCUUCGGACCUCGCGCUAUUGGAUGAGCCUGCGUCGGAUUAGCUAGUUGGUGGGGUAAGGGCUCACCAAGGCGACGAUCCGUAGCUGGUCUGAGAGGAUGACCAGUCACACCGGAACUGAGACACGGUCCGGACUCCUACGGGAGGCAGCAGUGGGGAAUAUUGGACAAUGGGCGCAAGCCUGAUCCAGCCAUGCCGCGUGGGUGAAGAAGGCCUUCGGGUUGUAAAGCCCUUUAGGUGGGGGAGGAAGGCAUUCAUGCUAAUACCAUGGAUGAUUGACGUUACCCACAGAAUAAGCACCGGCUAACUCCGUGCCAGCAGCCGCGGUAAUACGGAGGGUGCAAGCGUUAAUCGGAAUUACUGGGCGUAAAGCGCACGUAGGCGGUUUGACAAGUGGGAUGUGAAACCCUGGGCUCACCUGGAACUGAUCCAACUGU
rnacentral:rRNA from 1 species